CUCGUAGCUCACCUUCUCACUUCCCGAACUCCAGGCUGAAACCCUGAAGAACUCACUGAAACCCUGCACAUAUUUUUUCUUUCUUUUCUUUCUUUUUCUCUCGGAAUGAUAUAGACCUUCACCUUACACACAAGGAUUUCUCACGCCCAGAUUUUCUCUCCAAAAUUUUUCUUGCACACGCCCCACUCUUCUCCUCCUUUUAAAACAACAACCAAGGUCUUAUCC
rnacentral:lncRNA from 1 species